UACGUAGGUGGCAAGCGUUAUCCGGAAUUAUUGGGCGUAAAGCGCGCGCAGGUGGUUUCUUAAGUCUGAUGUGAAAGCCCACGGCUCAACCGUGGAAGGUCAUUGGAAACUGGGAGACUUGAGUGCAGAAGAGGAAAGUGGAAUUCCAUGUGUAGCGGUGAAAUGCGUAGAGAUAUGGAGGAACACCAGUGGCGAAGGCGACUUUCUGGUCUGUAACUGACACUGAGGCGCGAAAGCGUGGGGAGCAAACAGG
rnacentral:rRNA from 1 species